rnacentral:rRNA from 1 species
UACGAAGGGGGCAAGCGUUGUCCGGAUUUAUUGGGCGUAAAGAGCUCGUAGGUGGUUCGGUAAGUCGGAUGUGAAAUCUCCAGGCUCAACCUGGAGGGGUCAUUCGAUACUGCCGUGACUAGAGUUCGGUAGGGGAGUGUGGAAUUCCUGGUGGAGCGGUGAAAUGCGCAGAUAUCAGGAGGAACACCCGUAGCGAAGGCGGCACUCUGGGCCGAUACUGACACUGAGGAGCGAAAGCGUGGGGAGCGAACAGG